rnacentral:rRNA from 1 species
UACGAAGGGGGCUAGCGUUGCUCGGAAUCACUGGGCGUAAAGGGUGCGUAGGCGGGGUUUUAAGUCAGAGGUGAAAUCCUGGAGCUCAACUCCAGAACUGCCUUUGAUACUGAAAGUCUUGAGUAUGGGAGAGGUGAGUGGAACUGCGAGUGUAGAGGUGAAAUUCGUAGAUAUUCGCAAGAACACCAGUGGCGAAGGCGGCUCACUGGCCCAUUACUGACGCUGAGGCCCGAAAGCGUGGGGAGCAAACAGG